GACGAACGCUGGCGGCGUGCUUAACACAUGCAAGUCGAACGGAAAGGCCCUGCUUGCAGGGUACUCGAGUGGCGAACGGGUGAGUAACACGUGGGUGAUCUGCCCCGCACUUCGGGAUAAGCCUGGGAAACUGGGUCUAAUACCGGAUAGGAGCCAUUUUUAGUGUGAUGGUUGGAAAGUUUUUUCGGUGUAGGAUGAGCUCGCGGCCUAUCAGCUUGUUGGUGGGGUAAUGGCCUACCAAGGCGGCGACGGGCAGCCGGCCUGAGAGGGUGGACGGCCACAUUGGGACUGAGAUACGGCCCAGACUCCUACGGGAGGCAGCAGUGGGGAAUAUUGCACAAUGGGCGCAAGCCUGAUGCAGCGACGCCGCGUGGGGGAUGACGGCCUUCGGGUUGUAAACUCCUUUCGCUAGGGACGAAGCUUUUUGUGACGGUACCUAGAUAAGAAGCACCGGCUAACUACGUG
rnacentral:rRNA from 1 species